GAUGAACGCUGACAGAAUGCUUAACACAUGCAAGUCUUUGGCGAAGCUGUGCUUGCACAGCCUAGCCAAGGCGGACGGGUGAGUAACGCGUAAGGAACUUGCCCUGCAGUCAGGGAUAACAGACGGAAACGACUGAUAAGACCUGGUAAAGUCAGGCGGACUCAUGUCCAGCCUGAUGAAAAGAGAUGCUGCAGGAGAGCCUUGCGUCCUAUUAGCUUGUUGGUGGGGUAACGGCCCACCAAGGCGAUGAUAGGUAGCCGGCCUGAGAGGGUGGACGGCCACAAGGGGACUGAGAUACGGCCCUUACUCCUACGGGAGGCAGCAGUGGGGAAUAUUGGACAAUGGGGGCAACCCUGAUCCAGCAAUUCUGUGUGCACGAUGAAGGUUUUCGGAUUGUAAAGUGCUUUCAGCAGGGAAGAAAAAAAUGACGGUACCUGCAGAAGAAGCGACGGCUAAAUACGUGCCUGCAGCCGCGGUAAUACGUAUGUCGCAAGCGUUAUCCGGAAUUAUUGGGCAUAAAGGGCAUCUAGGCGGCCAGAUAAGUCUGGGGUGAAAACUUGCGGCUCAACCGCAAGCCUGCCCUGGAAACUAUGUGGCUAGAGUACUGGAGAGGUGGACGGAACUGCACGAGUAGAGGUGAAAUUCGUAGAUAUGUGCAGGAAUGCCGAUGAUGAAGAUAGUUCACUGGACGGUAACUGACGCUGAAGUGCGAAAGCUAGGGGAGCAAACAGG
rnacentral:rRNA from 1 species